rnacentral:rRNA from 1 species
GGAAAGACCCCGUGAACCUUUACUGUAGGCUGAUAUUGGGUUGUGGUUUGUAAUGUGUAGGAUAGGUGGGAGGCUUUGAAGCUGGCGUUUUGGCGCCGGUGGAGCCAUUGGUGAAAUACCACCCUUCGUUUGUUUGUGGCCUAACCCCGAUUCCCAUGAACCUGGGCGGGGGACAGUGGGUGCUUGUCAGUUUGACUGGGGCGGUCUCCUCCUAAAGAGUAACGGAGGAGCCCAAUUGGUACCCUCAGCCUGGUUGGCAAUCAGGCAUCGAGCGUAAAGGUAGAAGGGUGCUAAACUGCGAGACUCAUAAGUCGAGCAGGUACGAAAGUAGGGCUUAGUGAUCCGGUGG